rnacentral:lncRNA from 1 species
CGCGGCGGCAGCAGUGCAGCACACAUUCCGUCCGCCUCUUCACGGUCUCUCUAUAAAAACCGCUGACACGGGUGCUGCUCUGAAUCCCGAUGAGAUACCUCGUCGCCACGGUCUUCCUCGCAACCAAAAUGGCGGCAGCCAAGAAUCACAGCCACCCGGCCGCUUAUCGGCUUUGCUUCCUCCUCCUCUCCAUGGCCACGCUCUCCUCAUCAGUCGUCUCUGCCACGGACGCUCCCCUGUGCAGCAUCCCCUCCCCCGCGCCCGGCCAUGUGUCCGCCGGCAAGGACACACUGCCACUCAUCCACUCCUUCCAGCUCAGCUCCGGCUACUUCUUCGGCGGCGAAGACAUCCACUUUGCUAAAGACGAUAAGAGCGACGACAGCCUGUUGCAUCUUCCCCCCUCGUUCACCUUACUGCCACUCCAAGUCCAGAGCACCACCAAUUCCACCGUCAUGCACGUCGGCGCCACGUUAACCCUCUCCGGCCGCCGCGCGCGCGCGUUCCACACCGUGGCGGCCCAUCGGCGAGAUCCCUUCGCGGAUGGUCCCCACUCCGUCUCCUUCCACCUCGACGGCUACUACUCCUCCACCUCCGAGGAGCUUUGCAUGCUCGGCUCCGGCACCUACUCUAUGGGCGACGGCUGGCCCAAGCACCUUCCGGACGUCGUCCUCCGCCUCCGCGUCCCCAGCUCGCCUACCCUCAAGGACCCCUUCGUCACCGGCGAGCUCAAGGGCGCCGGCUUUGAUGCCAUCACCCUCGUCUCGUACGCCGAAGGUGACACCUACGAGUACGGCCAGAUCGCGUCCUGCCCGCCGUCUCCAGCCGUGAGAGGCGCGCUCCAGGCGCGCUUCUCGUGCGCGCGUCUCAGAGAGCAGCUCGUGAGCUCGUACAAGCUGCAGCACGGCGGCAGCGGCGUGCCCGCGUCGAGCUCGAGCACCUCUCCUGCGCUGCCGGAGCCGCGCAUGCACGUCGGCCAGGUGCAGUGCACCGCGGACGGCGCCGUGCGCCUGUACGCGACCUUCUCCAACAACACGAACCUGUGGGGCGUGCGGUACCUGCGGCCAGGCUUCGUGGUCAAGGAGGCAGCGGUCGUCGCCGAAGGGCGCUGGGACUCGACACAGAGCACGCUCUGCCUCAGGGCGUGCCGGGUGGUGCGCUCGGGGCCGACGUCCCUUGCGGUCGCGGUGCAGGACUGCAGCAUCGGGAUGAGCUUCUGGUUCCCGGCCGUCUGGACGAUUCGGGACCGGAGUAUCGUAGCCGGCAGGCUUUGGAAUUCGAGCCAAGGUACUGCUGGAAGCAACGCCGCCGCUGCAGGUGCGGUGUCGGCGUCGAGCAUCGACUUCGACAUCAACAGAGACACCUUCUCAGACGUCAAUUACACGUACACCAUGGUCGACGAGGCAAAGCAGCGUUAUUUCGCUGAUGUGCUGAGAAGCCAUGAGAACAAGGCUAACAAGGGGCCGUUCCCGUCUGCCAACUACACUUACCAUGACUUCCAGUUUCGUUUCUACAUGAACACACAGUCGAAGCAUGGAGAAGCCUAUCCUGUUACGAUUGGCUCAGCUAUAGUCGACGGGGAUAGGCUACCAGCCGGCGGUUCUUUCAGCUCCUGGCAUGGCAAGGUCGACAUGGAGCAUGAGCUGCUGAAGGUCAGCUACGACAUAUACACACGCCAUGUUCCUCCACGUGUGAAUUUCAUGAACAUGACGUCCCCAAUUACCAUAGAAGAACGCCUGAUCACAGCUGAGGGUGUUUACGAUCCGAAGACGGGUGUCCUGUGCAUGAUCGGUUGCCAAGAGCUGGAAGGCUCCACGGAAACGGACUGCCAGAUCUUGAUCACCGUGCACUUCGCCUCGCUGGAUGCCAAGGCGCAGGGCCGUGGAAGGGGAGUGAUCGGCAGCCUGAGAGCCAAGACGACAGACCCUCUCUUCUUCAGCAAGAUGGACAUUGCUCUGUUCGGGAGGUACCGCGAGCAGGUGUCCGCGUCCAUCUCGCGGAUGGACCUGGAGAGCGUCAUGCUGGUGGCCUCCACGACGCUGCCGUGCAUCUUCACGGCCCUGCAGAUCCUCCACGCCAAGAGGAGCACCGAGGCGUCCGCGUCGACGUCCAUCACCAUGCUCGUCGUCAUGGCCCUGGGCUACGUUGCGCCACUCGUGAUCAGCACCGAGGCUCUGUUCGUGAGCAGGGGAACUCAGUACGCGCCGUUCCAGAGGAAAGUGCCGUACGAGCUGAAGCAGGCGAUGCUGAGGGUGCCCACGCUGAUCGCGUUCGUGCUUCAGCUACGCCUCCUUCAACUAGCCUGGUCUGCCCGGAGCUCAGCUGCCGGCCGGAGCAAGGACGGGACGUCGUCGUCGUCGGCGGCGGCGGCAGCCGAGAGGAGAGCGCUCUGGGUAUGCCUGCCGUUGUACCUGCUCGGCGGGGCACUGACCGUCGUUCUCCACAUGGCGAACAGCCGCCGCGCCGCACAGGAGGAUUCCCUCGCCGUUCGCGUCGGCCCAGAGCUGGCCACGCUAUGGGAGGACCUCGCCUCGUCCGCGGGGCUGGCGCUGGACGGGUUCCUUCUCCCUCAGGUGGCCAUGAACGCGUUCUCCGGUGGCAAAGUGAGAGCCGUCUCGCCGUGGUUCUACGUCGGCGGCACAGUGGUUCGCGCGAUGCCCCACGUCUACGACGUGAUAAGGAGACAGGGUUACGUGCCGAGCUUGAAGCCGUCGAACGUGUACGCGAGCCCUCUGGACGACCGGUUUGGCGUCGCAUGGGACAUCGUUGUGCCGUGCGGAGCAGCGUUGCUGGCCGUGCUGCUGUUCCUUCAGCAAAGGCUUCGUAGCAGUGACACCUUGUUGUUUCGUUCGCGGAGAACAGGUGAAUACCAGAUGGUCUCUACCUAGAAAACUGGAGCAUUUCGGAUGAAGGUUGGGAGAGAUCGGUCUCGAUUUGCAUUUAAAAUUAUCUUGUCACCGCAGAAGGCGGCAUUUCUUUGUCGAUAUCGGUUUCAUUAGUGGUGUAGGAAAAUUAUAUGAUAACCGAUAAAUUUGCACACGUACUUUUUAGAUGAUUUUAUUUUCUAAUGCAAUCUUCGAGAAAAGAUUGGAAUAUAAAGCAAACAAAUAUCUUUUUUUCUAAUUUAAUAUUUUCUUAGCGAAAAUUUCUUCCCCUCGGUCCGUUGCACCCUUGAUAUGGUUCAAUCGUUUGGAGCUGCGAGAACCACCCAACACGAGCUCGUGGAUCAUCUUCCACCUUUCUCCCCCACCUCACAGUAACUACCCACAAUAGCCAUCUACUCCCUCCAUUCAUAAAAGAACAUAUUUGUAGAAAGCAUGCCGGUCAAACUAACUCAAGUUUGAUCAAGUUUAUAGAAAAUAAAUAUUAGCAUUUAUAUUUUUAAAUAAAUUUAUUAUAAAAAUAUAUUCUAUAAAUAAUCUAAUGAUACUUAUUGUGUUUCAUAAAUGUUAGUACUUUUUUUAUAUAAUUCGAGUCAAAGUUUGAAUUGUUUGACUCCUCAUAAUGUGAGAAUUACAUUCUUUUGUGGACGAAUGGAGUAUAAUCUAAUUAAGCUGAAUUAAUCUUCAAUCAAUUUUCUAUAUGGGAUUAAUUCUUUCUCGCAUAUAGUUAAACAAUUUGUCUAUACCUAAUAAUAAGGAGGCAAAAAUUUUUGUCAAGAUUUUUUCAUCUACAUGUAAGAUGUAAGACUUUUCCUAAACCAAGAUUACAUGUAAGAUGUAAGACUUCUUCUAAACCAAGAUUAAAUCUCAAAUACAUCUAUUUAGGAACAUGAGUCAAGUACAACCUCUGCACCAUUAUUUUUCUUUGACUCAGAAACAAUGGCUAAUUGUGUCUGAAAUGCAAAACAAGAUUGGCUUAUGUUUCUAAAGUUGAACUCGCAUAUACUUACAACUCCAUAAUAAAUUUGUUUGCUACAGCGGCCGUUGCUACAUUACAGGUUCAAUAGGAGGAAGAGGAUCUCACCGCCGAAUCAUUCCAUGGUUAGGUCUCAUCAAUUGAGAUACUCCACGGGGCCCGCUGCUGUCACGAGUGCCUAGUCCAGAUACUGUGUAGCAACUUCGCCGACACGUGUGAGCUCUAGCUCCACCUCCACUGUUCGCACCACUGCUACUGCACAUUGCUCGGACGGCUGGGAUCUGAGGAGGAGCGCCUAUCGUGCUGAACCCCUUGUUCGUUGGCACAUGUUGGCCAUCACCUUCGUCCGAGGUGCCAAAACGGUCCGCACGCUAGACACAAGCAGUGAGAGUUUGAGGCACUAUCGGGCAUGGACAUGGCGAUGCUAGAGCUAUCUGGCUUGAAUCGCUGAACUCAUAGGCCUGUGCAUGUCUUUGCUAGUGGCACUAAAGGUACGGACCGUGCCGCUCAACCCCAAGUCCCUGGAUGUCCCAUGGCCAUAGCUCUAGCCGUAUUGUGCGCUUUUCUGAUGUCUUGGUAGAGCACAACCAUAGUCACUUGUGUUGCAACAAGAUAGGUAACAACAACUGCAAAAAUUAUCAAAGAGAUGACAUAGCGAUGGAAGAAACCAGCAGAAAAACAAGAAAAGUGUGGUGGCUAAAUUCUGAUUGACACGCGAACAUGAAGAAAAAGAGAGAUACAAAGACAAGUUUACUAAAUAUUAUAGAAAGAGGAAAAUAUAAUUUCUCCCUCUUACAACAUACGGUUACUUUUGGAAGUUAUAACCUAUAACUAUAGGAUAAUUUUUUACGUUCAAUGGGACAUCUGUCAGCCCUACAUACUAUUUAUUUUUCAUUGCAUCAUUUUUUAUGUUGUGGGUUCAUAUCCUCUUCACUUGGCUAAUAAACUAUGACUGAAAGUAUUAUUUACUAAUUUAUUAUAAGACAAAAAAUACUGCUGAAUGGCUACCAGAUUCGGCAGAUAAGCUUAAGUGAAGUUUUAUUUCCAUCUGCACCAUUUUUAUGUUGUGGGUUUAGUUAGAUUUCUGUUUUAUUUAUUUUCCAUGUGCAUCAUUUUAUUUCCUAUUUUUAUGUCACCGUCAUUUUGUCUGUUGUCUUUCUAUUUUCCUUUCUCUUUGUCUGUUUUCAUUUCUUUCGUUGUAUGCCCUUUUUUCUCUUUUUUAUCGGGUUUUUCUAUUUUCCUUCUCCCUUUGUCUGUUUUCAUUUCUUUCAUCCUCUUGUCCUUUUUUUCUCCUCUUCUUUUUCUAGUUUUUCUUUUCUCUAUGUCUUUUCUAUAAUAAAGGAAAAAUAUAAGAAUUUUAAUGUAAAGAUUAGAAACUGAACUUAUGAUCAUAGCUUUAUAUUAGAUAUAUAUAAAGAUUUCACCGUCAAAGCUAUUAUUGUGUUUGUGAGUUUAAUGCACAAAUCAUCCAAUUUAAGUGUUAGAUCACAACAUACCUAAUCUAUCUAUAAAUACCUAAUAUAAAAGAGAUAUUGAGUCUUUUAACUAUUUUGUUUUAAUUCCCUCAAUACCCUCACGCCCCUCCAUAUGUGACCCAAACUCAUAACUUUACUCAUACAAGUUAGAAUUACACGUUUCGCGUGUUUAGCAACGUUGUAUGAAUUCUGAUUUCAUGAUGUAUUGUUUAAAUCUCUGAGCCAGAAAUUAUUGUGAAGACGAUGCAAUAAGUUGUACACUAUAUUUUAUUGUAACAUAUGGGCAUAUUUACUAAAUACAUUAAGAAAAAUAAGAACCAAAACAGAAAAUAUCAUGUCAGCAAUCAAAUUUGGCAGUCUUCACCUCCACCACAUCCAUCAUAACCAUGGCAACACUGUGUUGUCUUCUGUCACCGUUGAUCAUACCAUUAGUGUAAACAAUGAUAAAAAUAUAGCCAACCAAGAUUUCAACGAACCCAGAUCUCGUACUAGCUUCUGAAAACCAUAAUAGUUAUUCGUCCCAAUUCUCAAAUACUGUAUUCAAAAAUUGCUGAAAGAACGUUAGGGAGGCCGCGCUAUGAGUCCAUUCCAAAUAUACUCUUGCGCCACCAUCCAUCAACGCAACCACAAGCCUCAAACACAUGUCGUCAAUGCUGGCUCACCAUAGUUUGGGUAAAGAGAAAGCAAGAGAACUGCCAAAAAAAAGGUCAACAUCAAAACAACAAAGCUAGGGAUACAAAACCCAUAGCCAACCACGCUCUCCAUGGAAGCAAUCACUAGAGUAAGGUGACAAAACAGAAGAUCCACCAUUGUCUCUAUAGCUGAAGGCCAUGAAAAACAAAUAUUAUGUUUGGAUGAAACCCUAAACAACUCCGAGAUCUAAUAAAAGAAUAGAAUCCCGCUAUCUUGACGCCAAUUUAGCAUACUAGUACAAUGCCCGUGCUAACGCCACGGUUUUAUUCUAAGGAUGCACUUAAAAACAACAAUUUUCAACGAAACAACGAUAUUUUUUCUAUAGUUUUUUGAGCAUUCAUAUAAUCCAGAAUACACUCAUAAAUAAGGAAUAAUAAAGCCAUGUCUCAUAUACUACAAAUAAGUUCUUAAUUGCUUAAGCAGAUCUCGGAGUUCUUCAGGGAUGAUGAUUGCUUAAGCCAUGUCUCUUAGUAGGAUGAAGUAGCAUGAAUCUGGACUGUUGCCAUACCCAAUGGUUGUUGCACUAAAUCCUCCCCACCGGUAGGACCCACUGGUUGCUCCAGUAAAUCCUCACCAUUAGUAGGAGACGUUGACUCUUUGGGACUGUCAUUGUAGGGCAUGAACUUAUUCCAUCCAGUUUCUCCUUUGGGAUUUAAUAAAGGAUAUGCUGAUGGAUCAUAACACCCAUGAUAAGCUUUGAUAUAGCGCAUCUUCUCUCCUUUAGGGUAUACAAUAACACUCCUAUCAAAACAUCUUUGGGGGUCAUCUCCAUCGGUCCAGAUAGCAGCAACUUGUGAGGUAGUAGGGGCAUUAUACCUUAAAAAAUUAUGCACAAAUUAAAAAAAGAGGAAGUAGUAUAUUCGUUGGUUGUUAAAAAAAAUUAAAAUUAACAUGUAAUGGAGAAGAGGUUGUACCUUCGUUGGUCAGGUGUCACAUUAGUGUUGAGCUCAAUUACAUAAUCACCAAGAUUCGGAAUAGAGCCAGCUCUAUUAAAGGUUUGUACAUAAGGGUUAUUUGCUUGUAGUAUCCUGAGCACAUUUCUUACAAUAUUUAUAUCAAGAUCAGGUGACCUUUUCACUCUAUGAGACAAUGUAUCUGCUUCUUCUGUGUCAUAAAAGUAGAGUUGCAGGUGACGUGGCUCUUUUGACCCUGGCAGUAAAUGGUCCAGACGAUGAUACAUUCACCAUGUACACGAAAUGUAUAUAUGCCGGUACCUGCCGCUGUGCAGUAUCUCCGGUCCAGUGUAACUCCGAGACUUGUGAAUGAGAAGUGAGAGUUGAAGUACCGUAUGUGUUUUAUGAAAUAUUUUGCAUCAGUAUCCACCGGACUCGUGAACAACCUCUUCAACUCAGCAGGUACAUCAUUGAUAUGCACUUUUAUCUUUCCCAUUCUACAACAGAAUCCAGGUGGUUCGCCUUCAAAUCUCAUGGCUCCACAAUAUCGGCAGUCAGGAACCUUUUUCAAAACAUGGUGCUCUUCCGGCAAGUUAUGGUAGACAAAAUCAUAUGGGUCAUCAGCUACAGUUUUGCCAUUGCAAUCGUCGUUGACACGAUAUGACUCAAAUGCACAUUCUGUAUAUUGAAAAAUAUGUCAAUGUGGCAGUCACUCCACAUGGUUAGAAAUAACAAUUUAUUAAGUAAUAGUUACCUUCACCAAGAAACUGCAUAGUCUCAAAAUCUUUAGGACCAUCUUCUUCUAUGACAAAUUCCUCUUCUAUAUCACUUAGAUGAUCUAUUUCACAUGCGCUUGAAAUUAACAGGAUGCAUGCAACAAAAUGCCAACUAAAGAAAAAAACUGCAUUGGUUAAGUGAUUUGUAAAACCAACCUUCAUCAUCAGAUUCAUGGUUUGUAGGUUCGAAUAAAACAAUGUCAAAUUCGAUUUCAUCGUUGGUGUCUACACAUCUGAUCACAGGUAUAUGGUUAACAUUUUCUUCCUGGGCAACAGUAGGGCAUGCUCGGCGGUUGUUAUCCGCUGCUCUUGCUUUUUUGUAUUGUCGCCUCUGUUUUAGCAAUUUUGCCUUGGCUGUCGCAUCCAUGUUUAGGUACCAGUUUCGUUUGCUGAGCAGUUUGGCAGUGCUUGAGCUGACACCUGAUCACCAUUGAACACAAAGAGAUAUAUUUGACCCAAUCUCCACCCCAUCGAAAUUUACAAUGUCCUAGUUAGAUGUUAGCAUACCUGUAUUUAUUAUGGUGCUGUUUGAACCUUCAGUCGCCAAAGGCGUCAAUGGUGGUCUUUGUUUCCUGACGUACUCAUCAUUCCUAUGUAGCCAGUCAUUGCACUCAAGUGGAUCAUCAUUUUCCUUGUCAUGAUAUAUUGAUGCUUGGCAAAUGGCUGAAACACCAAUUUCUUGUGGUGAUUUUCCUCCUGCAAGUUUUAAUAUUCAAUUAAACUGCACAUACCAGAGGUAUAUUUAUUCUGUAGUAUUAUAAUCAAUUGCAUUAACAAAAACCACGUACCCAAUCGAGAUGGGGCCAAGGUGGAAUAUACUGCUUCUGUCAUGCUAACAUCUGUGCAACUGGAUAUAGGUUCUACAUCAGAUGGUUCUGCGUGUAUAAAAAUUAACCGUGUUACUCAUUUCGAUGCAUAAACAAAGAAGAAUAGUAUACAUGAUCAGUUUGCGGAUACCAUGAUCAGGAGUCUUGAGUAUUGACGGUGUUUUUUUCCUCGCACGGUAUUCACGUUGCUUUCUAUUCCGCUCCUCUCUUUGUUUGUUGGAUUCCUCGGCCCUUUUUCGUGCGCGAUAUUCAUGUUGUUUUCUAUUCCUCUCUUCCCUUUUUUUCUCUCUUCAUCAUUUGCAGGUGUUGUCUCUUCUACUGUGAUGUAUAAUGUGUGUCACAGUUUCGCUAAAAAAUCAUAGAAACUGACGAUGGACGAUGUCAACUAACAUACCUCGUCCGAUGAUGUUUGAUAUGUCGCCAAAUGUAGUGCGGGUUGGUUGUCUAUCCCCCAUGGAAGACCACUUAAUACCCUGUAAAAUAGUUAUUAUUUAUAAGUUUCAAUUUGUACUUCUUUUCAGUUUGCAGUACUCGUAGCUUAAAUUUUUAGCAUUUUUUCCUCCUUCUUACAGCUCAAUGACUUUUUACAGCAACCUCUUUAUUCAAUUCCUUGUCAAACCUAUAAAAAAAUAACAUAGGUCCAUGGAAAACAUGAGGAAACAAAAAUAUUAGUAGAAGUACAAUUACAUAGCAGAACUUUUAAUUUUAUUACAUACUGAUUGUUUUAUAGGUUGUGAACUACAAAAAAAAUCUGAAUCCAAUAUUUUUUUAUGCCAUCCAAUAGUAGUACCACCUAGUAACAUAGACGCAGUGUAGACUCAUCCUGAUUAGCCACUGCAUCAACCUGAUUAGCACUACUUGUUCCCCCAAACUCCACACUGCAUUAUUUUCCCCCAGAUCGAUGAAACCACCAAUGGCGGCGUGGCCAAGGGCUUUUGCCAAUAACAUGUGGUUAAGAAAUGUUUCUAUUUUCUGAAAUUUAUACAGGUGAUGACUAUGUCAAACUACUAAAGUCCAUAUGGAGCACUGCUGCGUGAUUUAUUUUCUAAAUAAUAUCUACUCACCUCACGUACUGUAGCAAUCUCAACAAAAGCAGAGCAACGACGUGGUCUCAUAAUUCCUGGCAAAUAAGUUCCCAAGAUUAGAAAACCAAAGAAAUUAAAUAAGAGAAAGGAAGCAGAGCAACGACUUGUGAGCUCUGACUCUACGUGAGCAGAGAAUGCAGAGAUGCAGCAACAGGCCGCAUGGACAGCCGUACCCAUGCUUCUUCCAGAUGAAUGAACUUCCGUCGCAAUGACUUCCGCCGUCGCAGUGACUUCCUCACGAGUUGUGGUCGCACGGCUGUCUCGCGGCACGGGCGGCGUGGCUGUGUUCCGGCGCGGCGCAGGCGGCGUGGCUGCGUUGCGGCGCCGGCGGCGUGGCUGCGUGGCGGCGGCGGGUAGGAUUGCGAGAGUGCGAGCGGCGUGGCGCGGCGCGGGCGGCGUGGCUGCGUUGCGGCGUCGGCGGCGUGGCUGCUUGGCAGCGGCGGGCAGGUUUGCGAGCGUGCGAGCGGCGUUGCUGCGUGCGGGCGGCGUCGGUCCUUGCGUUCGUGCGCCUCGUGCUUCGCGCCUAUUGGGUGCGGGAUGGUAGAGGGCACUUCGUGUUACGUGCCUGCGUGGGUGCGGGACGGAAGAGGGAUGAGUGAUGAGUUCUGAUCCCAGCAAUAUGGUACGUUAGAUGCGAGUGAGUGAGAGAAAGGAGAUUAUUAGAGUUAAUCUCGUCCGUACGUUUGAAAUAUUAGGUACUCAUGUGUGUAAUUUUGUGGGUGUACUUAGAAGAGUUGAUGACUGUGGUGGACACUAUUAGGUGUGGCUUUAGGAUAGUUUUUUGGGUGCAUUAUAUGUGGUAGAGAAUCUAAUCACCACUGAUAUAUAAUAAUAGAUAUUGGGUUUAUUUUUGUUUUCUUAAAAAUUACCCACAUUUGGAAAACAACAUAAAUUAGUAUACAUCCAAGUUAUCUACCCAUAUUAUUAUGAAACAUAAGCUAAAAUAAUUAAAUUAUGCACCAUGCCGUUAUGGUAGGUAAUCAAAGCAACCCUUUAAUUUUGCAUCUAAAAUACCACUUUUGCUAGUGUAAAAAGGUAAACUAAAAAUAAAUCUGAUCAAAUCUACGUCUAAAUUAACAACACAUGCCACCAUGUGUUAAAACAUAUACAUAAUUUAUUCCUUCGAAUGCUUUUAAAGCUAAGGAGGCAUAUAUGUUCUGUGAUCACGCAGAGACGCAGAGUCAAAUGUACAUGCACGUAUAAGCGUAAAUGUAUAUUUUGUGGCUUAUGAAUCGUGAAAAGAAUUUAUUAAUGAAUUAUAUACCAAUGACACUAAAAAUUAUCUUCUCCGAGCACCGGCCGUUAGUAUUAUGUCUUUUCAAACUAAUGCUAUGACAGUAUGACUUUGACCAAACCAAGUCAGCAGUCAACACUCAUCAAAUUUCCAAAUCGCAUAUAUAUGGACAACUACCCCUAUCUGCUCCGGCCCCAGAACAUGCAGAACGUGGCUAUGGGCGCGGUGCGAUCUCUUUCUUACGAGCAGAGGAUAUGGACGGUUUGACGUUUAAUUUGAAAACUAAGCAAUGGAUCAUAAGCCAUAAGUCAGAGUGCUUGCUGGAGGCUGGAGGUGUACUCUAUCCAGGGGCGAAGCCAGCCAAAAGUGGUGUCGGGGUCAGUACUGAGUUUUCACUAAUUCAUUGGGGUAUGUUGACCCCAAUAACAAAGCCUAGCUUCGCCCCUCACUCUAUCUUAUCUGCUGGACCUCGGAACGUGGUGUCAUCUGCCUAACAGUGAACUUGAGUAAAAUGCAUCUGAGGUCUUUUAACUUGUACAAAGCUUUUAGCCAACAACUCUAAAAGUUGAUUUUAAGGUUGAUAAAAUUUUUAAGUUACUCAUUGCAGUUGCAAAUAGUCAUUCGGCCCUUAGAUCUAACAUGGCAUACUGAGUCAAUACUAGGAUAGCAAUUAAAUUGCAUUUAACCUCUUCUUCUCACCUCAUCUCCCUAUCCCUAGCCUCCUGACUCCUAAACUACCGUCGUCGCUGCCAUGCUCUUGCUCGUCAGUGCCCUAACUCCUCUGCGUCUCUUGCGCUCUUUUGCCCUGUGCUCAUAGGCCCAUAUGCGCUCGUUAGUCCUAUGCAGUUGUUCGAUAACCACGGCUCUACAACAAUCUAGACCCAUGCUGCAUUCUAUGCUCUCGUUGGGUCCUCUCCUCUCCUUCCUUCCCCCCCUCUUCCAUGCUCCCUUCCUCGAGCAGCACCAUGUAUCACGUGGGCCGGUGAGUGUGGACACCGGUAAGCUAUAUGAGCGCUCCGCCACACACCGUAUGUUCCUUUCAUUGUAGGGGUGUUGCUAAGCGGCUAGUGCAACUGUAUGGGGCCAUCGGGCGAGCACGAGCACACAGGCCAGAGAGUGUGGGAGGCGCAGGGGGGCAUUGGUGAGCGAGAGCAUGGCGCAUGGCGGUGACGGCAUGUGUGAGUAACUUUUUGUGGAUCUGAAAUUGACUUUUAGAGUUGAAGUUUACAGACCUAAUGAAACUCCACGCAUAAAUUUGUUUAGAUACCCUGUGAUUAUAAUAAUUAGAUUGUACAAUCAAAUUAUGUUCUUAUUAACAUGACUAAUUAUAUGAUAUUAGAUUAUUAUAAUCAAAAUCCUUGAUUAUCUUAAUCCCAUAAUGUAGGUGAGACCAUGUUUUAGGAGAUUAUGGGCGUUGAAAGUCUAACUUGGCCCCGAUUAAUUGUUCAACUUGCCAAACUAAAAAAUAAAAUAUAAAAUUUUAACCGACCAUAAUCAACCACCGUAUCUAGGGAUCAAACACUCUGAUCAUACAUAUUCACAUGUUUAAUGGUUCUGGUGCAUUUAACUCUCUGAACAUUUGAGUAUAUUGCGGCUUCUCUCGGUGAUGUGAUUUGUAAUUAAACGUGCAACAAUCUUUCUGUGAAGGGAUUUUUUGUAACAGUUUUUUUCUGACAAUGGCUCGUUAUGUAAUUAAUUUGAGCCAUGACCUUUUAGCCAAAAUAUAAACCAAGUGUAUGAUUAAAAAGUUAUGGUUAAAAUGCUUUUUUAUUGUGAUGCUUAAUAGCUCGUAGAUUUUGCUACAUACUAUACUCUAGCAAACAGGCUAAGGCCUUGUUUAGUUCCCAAAAAAUUUUAUAAAUUUUUUUCAGAUUUCUCGUCACAUCAAAUUUUUAGAUGUAUGCAUGAAGUAUUAAAUAUUGACGAAACAAAUCUUCUAUAAGUGUCAAUUUCUUAAAAAAAUUUUAAAACUAAACAAGGGCUAACUUCUAGUCUUCCCGCGGUCAAGUCAAGGAAGAUUCGAUGGCCCACCACGCAUAAGGGAAGCUUCGUGGUGGGCCUGUGGCUGUGGGGUGUUGUCGUGUGUGAACCGCCGAACACUGACCCCCACCAUCAGCAGUCAAGUACAGAGACUUGAGCCAUGCAGUCCAGAGCAGGCUUCUCUUAGGACGUCAGCUCUGGCCCUCCGACUCCGAGAUAUAAAAACACCCAGGCGCUUGUGAUGCCACACCUCGCCACCGCCACCGUGGGCUUCGUUUCCGUCGCCCUGCCACUGCCAACCAAAAUGGCAGCUCACAACUCGGCCGCUUGCGGCUUUCGCGUGCUCCUCCUCCUCCUCCUGUCCACUGCCACUCUCUCCGCCUCAGGCUCCUCCCUCUGCACCAUGCCCUCCCCUGCUCCCAAACACCAGCCAGGCGGCGAGGACGCCCUCCCGCUCCUCGGCUCCUUGGAGCUCAACGCCGGCUACUUCUUCGGAGGCGAAGAUCUCCAGUUCACCAAAGAUGAGGGCAACGAGACGUCCUACUCCUAUGUCACCCGCUCCUUCUCUUUGCUCCUCCUCCACGCCUAUCGAACAUCUGACACCGCCGUUUUCCACGUCGCCGCCAUCUUAACCCUUUCCGGCGGCCGCGACAAGGAGAGCCACUACAUGGGAUCCCAUCGGCGGCGACACCACCAUCGCUACGUGGGCAGUCACUCUGUCACUUUCUCCGUCGAGGGUUACUACACCAACGGCACCACCUCCGCGGAGCUUUGCAUGGCUGGCACAGGCUCCUAUUCCGACGAGAACGGCUCCACCAACAAGCGCCUCCCCGGCGUCGACCUCUACCUCCGCGUCCCCAACCCGUCCAGCAUCACGGACCCCUUCAUCACCGGCGGCGUCAGGGGCACUGGCUUCAACACCAUCUCUCUCGUCGCGUACGUCGAAGACGACAGCGACACCUACAACUAUGGCGCCAAGAGCGCCUCCUGCUCGACGCCGCCGCCAUCUUCUGCCGCGGCCGCGAGGGGCGCGCUCCAGGCGCUUGGCCCCAGCUUCUCUUGCGCGCACCUCAAGGAAAGUCUCGCGACCUCUUACAAGCUGCGGGACGGCGACGGCGCACACGCGCCGGUCUCCUCGCCGGAGCGGCGCCUGCACAUCAGCGAGGUGCAGUGCACCGCGGACGGGUCCGUGCGCGCGUACGCGGCGUUCUCCAACGAUACGCAGAGCUGGAGACGUCUGCAGCCACGCUCACCCUUCGUGGCCAAGGACGAGGCGGUUGUCGCCGAAGGGCAGUGGGACUCAGCUCGGAGCAUGCCUCUGCCUCAGGGCGUGUCGUGUGGUGAGCUCUGGGGCGUCCAUGGAGGUGAACAAGGAGUGCGACAUGGGCAUGAGCUUCUGGUUCCCGGGAGUCUGGACGAUUCGGGACCGGAGUGCCGUCGCCGGCAUGCUUUGGAACUCGAGCAAAGCGGCUGGUGGCUCUGGUGUCAGCGGUGUGAUAUCAGCGUCGAGCAUCGAUGUCAGCAUCCAUAGAGGCAACUUCUCAGACGUUAAGUACGACUACGACUACACGAUGGUCGAGGAGGCGAAGAAGCACUAUCUCCAGGAUCGUGUAUUGAGCAAGCCCAAGACGAAGGUUAAGGGCCCGUUCAUUGCUCCUAACUACACCGAUCAUGACUUCGAGUUCCAUUUCUACGAGACUAAAAGCAUGAUGCUGCUGAGUGGAGACGCCUACCCGGUUACGAUCGGCUCGGCGAUGGUCUAUGGUGAUCAGCUGGCCGCGGCCGAUUCCUUCUCCCGGAACGCCGUGGUUGACAUGAAUUCGCAGGAGCUGUUGAACGUCAGCUACGACAUACGUGAGCGGGUUCCACCUACGGGCUGGGUGCGUCCCAAGAACCGGUCGUACGGGGUCACCCUUGAAGAGCGGCGAAUGACAGCAGAGGGUGUCUUUGAUCCGAAGACAGGCAUCCUGUGCAUGAUCGCCUGCCGAGAGUACAACAGCUCGACGACGGACUGCCAAAUACUGAUCACCGUUUAUUUAGCUUCGCUGGACGGCAAGGCUCAUGGCCAUGGAAGGGGAGCGAUCAGCAGCCUGAGAGACAAGGCGACGGACCCUCUCUUCUUCGAGAAGGUCGACAUCAGGUUGUUCGGGAUGUACAGCGGCCAGAUCUCGGAGUCGAUCUCGAGGAUGGACUUGGAGAGCAUCCUGCUGGUGAUCUCGACGACGCUGCCGUGCGUCUUCACCGUCCUGCAGAUCUUCCACGCCAAGAGGAGACCCGAGGCGGCGGCGGCCACCUCGGUCGCCAUGCUCGUCGUGCUGGCCCUGGGGUACGUCGCCCCUCUGGUGGUGAGCUCCGAG